rnacentral:rRNA from 1 species
GUGCUUGCACUAAAUGAAACUAGAUCACAAGCGAGCGGCGGACGGGUGAGUAACACGUGGGUAACCUGCCCAAGAGACUGGGAUAACACCUGGAAACAGAUGCUAAUACCGGAUAACAACACUAGACGCAUGUCUAGAGUUUGAAAGAUGGUUCUGCUAUCACUCUUGGAUGGACCUGCGGUGCAUUAGCUAGUUGGUAAGGUAAUGGCUUACCAAGGCGAUGAUGCAUAGCCGAGUUGAGAGACUGAUCGGCCACAUUGGGACUGAGACACGGCCCAAACUCCUACGGGAGGCAGCAGUAGGGAAUCUUCCACAAUGGACGAAAGUCUGAUGGAGCAACGCCGCGUGAGUGAAGAAGGGUUUCGGCUCGUAAAGCUCUGUUGGUAGUGAAGAAAGAUAGAGGUAGUAACUGGCCUUUAUUUGACGGUAAUUACUUAGAAAGUCACGGCUAACUACGUGCCAGCAGCCGCGGUAAUACGUAGGUGGCAAGCGUUGUCCGGAUUUAUUGGGCGUAAAGCGAGUGCAGGCGGUUCAAUAAGUCUGAUGUGAAAGCCUUCGGCUCAACCGGAGAAUUGCAUCAGAAACUGUUGAACUUGAGUGCAGAAGAGGAGAGUGGAACUCCAUGUGUAGCGGUGGAAUGCGUAGAUAUAUGGAAGAACACCAGUGGCGAAGGCGGCUCUCUG